GUGUCAGCCGCCGCGGUAAGACGGAGGAGGCAAGCGUUAUCCGGAAUUAUUGGGCGUAAAGGGUCCGCAGGUGGCAGUUCAAGUCUGCAGUCAAAGGUCGGGGCUCAACCCCGGAAAGGCAGUGGAAACUGACAAGCUAGAGGGCUCUAGGGGUAGAGGGAAUUCCCGGUGUAGCGGUGAAAUGCGUAGAGAUCGGGAAGAACAUCGGUGGCGAAAGCGCUCUACUGGAGAGCAACUGACACUCAGGGACGAAAGCUAGGGGAGCGAAAGGGAUUAGAUACCCCUGUAGUCCUAGCUGUAAACGAUGGAGACUAGGUGUGGCCUGUAUCGACCCGGGCCGUGCCGGAGCUAACGCGUUAAGUAUCCCGCCUGGGGAGUACGCACGCAAGUGUGAAACUUAAAUGAAUUGACGGGG
rnacentral:rRNA from 1 species